rfam:Bacillus marisflavi strain JCM 11544 scaffold1, whole genome shotgun sequence.
ACGAUCCACUAGGGGGGCCCUUAAUAGCGGCUGAGAUUGAAGUGAAACUUCAAGACCCUUUGAACCUGAUCUGGUUGAUACCAGCGGAGGGAAGUGGCGUUUUGAGGGU